CCCUUAGAUGUUCUGGGCCGCACGCGCGCUACACUGAUGAAUUCAACGAGCCUAGCCUUGUCCGAAAGGUCCGGGUAAUCUUUGAACGUGAAUCGUGAUGGGGAUAGAUGAUUGCAAUUAUUCAUCUUCAACGAGGAAUUCCUAGUAAACGCAAGUCAUCAGCUUGCAUUGAUUACGUCCCUGCCCUUUGUACACACCGCCCGUCGCACCUACCGAUUGAAUGGUCCGGUGAAAUCUUCGGAUCUGAGAGAUGUCUGAUUAAUUUCGGACGCCUUUUGGAAAAGUUGCUUAAACCUUACCAUUUAGAGGAAGGUGAANUCGUAACA
rnacentral:rRNA from 1 species